rnacentral:rRNA from 1 species
GACGAACGCUGGCGGCGGGCUUAACACAUGCAAGUCGAACGGUAAGGCCCUGCUUUUGUGGGGUGCUCGAGUGGCGAACGGGUGAGUAACACGUGAGUAACCUGCCCUUGACUUUGGGAUAACUUCAGGAAACUGGGGCUAAUACCGUAUAGGAGCUCCUGCUGCAUGGUGGGGGUGGGAAAGUUUAGGCGGUUGGGGAUGGACUCGCGGCUUAUCAGCUUGUUGGUGGGGUAGUGGCUUACCAAGGCUUUGACGGGUAGCCGGCCUGAGAGGGUGACCGGCCACAUUGGGCCUGCGAUACGGCCCAGACUCCAACGGGAGGCAGUAGUGGCGAAUAUUGCCCAAUGGGCGGAAGCCUGAUGAAGAAACGCCGCGUGUGGGAUGACGGCCUUCGGGUUGUAAACCGCUUUCGCCUGUGACGACGCGUGAGUGACGGUAAUGGGUAAAGAAGCACCGGCUAACUACGUG